AAGGGCCGGGAGCCGGGCCCGCGCCGCGGGCUGGGGGUGAGGGCGGCGGCGGCGUUUCCGUCAGGGCGUCCGCGGCUUCCCCUCAGGCAGCGCGGUCCUGCUGCCCUCCAACGCUGACAAUGCCUCCGGAAUUAAUGUUUCCCUUUUUGUAGGAACCGCUGGGUAUUGCUUUUGACUUAGCAAUGUGUCUGGAAACGAGUGAAAAAGAGAAUGUCUGACCUAGCAGGUUUCUGCAGCCUCUCCAGGGUGUGUUCUCAAGCGAAGUAUCACCCCCAAUGUAUUUAUCUGGGGCAAGGCAUGAUAAUCUCAUGGUUUAAAGAGGUUAGAAGAACACUGAAUGUUUCAGAAGUUCCUCACGGUGUCUUUCUGAAAUAUUUGGAACAUAUGCUUAAAUAAUUGAGAUAGCGCCUCAAUUUCCCAAAUCAAAAUGGUCUGAAGAAAUGAGAAGGGAUUAUGUUUGGCUAGCACAAAUUUAAUCUUCAAAGAUUUGCUCAGGAUGGAUGUGGACAAAGUCUCUUAUCUCUCUUUUUCCAGCGUCACCUAGGCUCAGCCUUUCCGAGGUGUAGCAGCACACAAAAGCCUCUGCAGCUUCUGAAGGCAGCAGACUGAGCAGUCCCUGGCACCCCUUGGAUGUUGUUGAACACUCAAGUUGUAGAGAGCUCAAGGCUAUAAACAAACCAGGCUACUAUAAGCAUACUUAUUGGCCAGAAGUGAGGUGCAUGCUUCCUACCUUUGUUAAACUGCAGCAUAUUGUCUAAAUAGUUCAAACAUAUUUGUAUGCAGUUGUUACAGGUGGCAUGCAAAUGUUUGGAAAUUGGUCAGGUAUUUGGUGAAGCGUAAGGAGUAUACAGCCUAAUGCAGGGAAAUACUCAAAGCAGAAUUUCCUGGUGCAAUCCUUGCCUUGUCCUUUGCACCCACAGCAUUUACAUAAAUUGAUUGAACCACUCCUGCAACAGCAAAUCACCACUGCAAGGAUGAGCAAUAGUUCUCUGUAUUAGUCCUGCAUGGUUUGCAAAUACCAGUAUCAGGAGGAUGUGCCCGUCAGGGAAUUGUGGAGAGGUGUAUAGGACCUCUUCAGGAUAGCUGUAGUGAGAUUUAAAUUAUCUUGGGUAAUCUAAUUUAGAGGUAAUCUUUCUUGUGGCUCCACUGCAGACAAGUUAUAUGAGCAAGGAGUAAAACCGAGCAUA